UUGCUGAUAUUGGUUCUGCAAACAGAACAAAAAUGUAGUUGCAUGAUAUUGGGAAAUCUAACAAGAAACAGGAUAUAUCGGGAAUAUUCCUGAUAUACCCUAUGAGGCAGGUUAGUCGAAUCAACCAUGUCUGUCUAACAGCCCAGAUGAACGUCGAGAUCUAGACGCUGCCUAAGCAUCGCACGGUUGUUUCAUUUUUUUUUGCCACGCCUACCUAAAAGUUUCUGUGGAAACCGCAGUUUUUACAAUACUACAUUUGAAUUGCGGCUUCCACAGUUUUUACAAUACUACAUUUGAAUUGCUAAUUUGAAAACCAGUAAUAAAGCCCGAGCAAAAGGUGUUUUUAAAAAAUGUCCCACGCCCACUUUCAGGCUUCAAUGUUUUGAAACUCUUACUGCAUUUUUAGCGGAAACUCAUUAUUAAUUGAGCUGGCAUCCGAAAACAGUACAGUGAAGAAAACGAACGAAAAUGUCUAUAUUAACUUGGAUACUGAUGUUGAUUAAGAAGUGUAUACUUUAAAGAGUCUGAAAUUGAUCCUUAUUUAAUUACAAACUAUACCCAAUGACAAAAAUUCCAUAAAAAUAACAAUAAAUAAAGAUUUUUAAGUACA